AGCGAACGCUGGCGGCAGGCUUAACACAUGCAAGUCGAACGCCCGGGCAACCGGGAGUGGCAGACGGGAGAGUAACACGUGGGAACGUACCCUUCGGUUCGGAAUAACCCAGGGAAACUUAGGGCUAAUACCGGAUACGUCCGUAAGGAGAAAGAUUCAUCGCCGAGGGAUCGGCCCGCGUCCGAUUAGCUAGUUGGUGAGGUAAUGGCUCACCAAGGCGACGAUCGGUAGCUGGUCUGAGAGGAUGANCAGCCUCACUGGGGACUGAGACACGGCCCAGACUCCUACGGGAGGGCAGCAGUGGGGAAUAUUGGACAAUGGGCGAAAGCCUGAUCCAGCCAUGCCGCGUGGGUGAUGAA
rnacentral:rRNA from 1 species